CCUACGGGUUGCACCAGUGGGAAUAUUGCACAAUGGGCGCAAGCCUGAUGCAGCCAUGCCGCGUGUAUGAAGAAGGCCUUCGGGUUGUAAAGUACUUUCAGCGGGGAGGAAGGCGAUAAGGUUAAUAACCUUGUCGAUUGACGUUACCCGCAGAAGAAGCACCGGCUAACUCCGUGCCAGCAGCCGCGGUAAUACGGAGGGUGCAAGCGUUAAUCGGAAUUACUGGGCGUAAAGCGCACGCAGGCGGUCUGUCAAGUCGGAUGUGAAAUCCCCGGGCUCAACCUGGGAACUGCAUUCGAAACUGGCAGGCUAGAGUCUUGUAGAGGGGGGUAGAAUUCCAUGUGUAGCGGUGAAAUGCGUAGAAAUGUGGAGGAAUACCGGUGGCGAAGGCGGCCCCCUGGUCAAAGACUGACGCUCAGGUGCGAAAGCGUGGGGAGCAGACAGGAUUAGAUACCCUCGUAGUC
rnacentral:rRNA from 1 species